AGAAGGACCCCAGCCUGGAGAUCCGCUACCGGCACAAGAAGAGCCGUGAGAAGGAACACGAGGGCUGCAAGGGGCCGGACAUGGAGCCGGGCCGCGCCGCCAAGGUCAGCGCCACCCUACUGCCACCCUACUGCCACCCUACUGCCACCCCGUGCCACCCUGUGCCACCCUAUGCCACCCCAUGUCAUCCUAUGGCACCCCCAUGCCACCCCAUGGCACCCUGCGUCACCCCAUGCCACCCCAUGUCACCCCAUGCCACCCUGUGUUUCCCUUAUGCCACCCCCAUGCCACCCCAUGGCACCCCAUGUCAUCCUAUGGCACCCCAUGCCACCCUGUGGCACCCCAUGCCACCCCCAUGCCACCCCAUGGCACCCCAUGCCAUCCUAUGGCAUCCCCAUGCCACCCCAUGCCACCCUGUGUCACCCCAUGCCACUCUGUGUCACCCUAUAGCACCCCCAUGCCACCCCAUGGCCCCCCCAUGUUACCACAUGGCACCCCAUGUCAUCUUAUGGCACCCUAUAGCACCCCAUGCCAUCCCCAUGCCACCCCAUGGCACCCCCAUGCCACCCCUAUGCCACUCCUAUGCCACCCCCGUGCCACCCUACUGCCACCCUACUGCCACCUCGUGCCACCCUGUGUCACCCUAUGGCACCCCCAUGCCACCCCAUGGCACCCCCAUGUUACCACAUGGCACCCCAUGUCAUCUUAUGGCACCCUAUNNNNNNNNNNNNCACCCCCAUGCCACCCCAUGUUACCCCAUGGCACCCUGUGCCACCCUGUGUCACCCCCAUGGCACCCCAUGCCACCUUGUGUCACCCUAUGGCACCUCAUGCCACCCCCAUGCCACACCAUGCCACCCCAUGUCAUCCUAUGGCACCCCCAUGCCACCCCAUGCCACCCUGUGUGACCCUGUGUCACCCCCAUGCCAUCCCCACGCCACCCAAUGUCACCCCAUGCCACCCCAUG
rnacentral:lncRNA from 1 species